ACUCCUACGGGAGGCAGCAGUGGGAAGUAUUGCACAAUGGGCGCAAGCCUGAUGCAGCCAUGCCGCGUGUGUGAAGAAGGCCUUCGGGUUGUAAAGCACUUUCAGUCGUGAGGAAGGCGGGUACGUUAAUAGCGUAUUCGUUUGACGUUAGCGACAGAAGAAGCACCGGCUAACUCCGUGCCAGCAGCCGCGGUAAUACGGAGGGUGCGAGCGUUAAUCGGAAUUACUGGGCGUAAAGCGCAUGCAGGUGGUUUGUUAAGUCAGAUGUGAAAGCCCGGGGGCUCAACCUCGGAAUAGCAUUUGAAACUGGCAGACUAGAGUACUGUAGAGGGGGUAGAAUUUCAGGUGUAGCGGUGAAAUGCGUAGAGAUCUGAAGGAAUACCGGUGGCGAAGGCGGCCCCCUGGACAGAUACUGACACUCAGAUGCGAAAGCGUGGGGAGCAAACAGGAUUAGAUACCCUGGUAGGACAGUG
rnacentral:rRNA from 1 species